GAGGGGAUAGCUCAGUGGUAGAGUGUGUGCCUAACAUGCUGGAGGUCCUGGGUUCAAUCCCCAGUACCUCCA
rnacentral:tRNA from 1 species